UCGUAUCAAAUAUAAACGAUAUUUGUGCUACAAUUUAUAAAUUUUGCUUAAUUAAUACGUUAUUUGUUCGCAAGAUAUUAUUAUUAAACAAUACUUUUGAAGUUUUUUUACUUUUUUGUUGAUCAAUUAUUUGAGUGUUAAAUUUGCCGGUAUAUAUCUGGAACAGGAAUUGAUGUUUACACUCCUUCCAUGCUCGAUGUGUUUCGACGUGUCUCGAUCUGUUGUAAACUCUCGAAUAUAUCCCUUCCCCAAUUUGUAUUUGUGCAACGACAUCACAAUGCAAAAAAAUUGUAACCGCUAGAAUUAUCAAAAAGCUUCGCAUCGACAAAAUCGAGGUGGCGGAAGACCGGUCCUCGAAGAUUGGAGGCGUCGUCCUCGCCGAUGGCCCCGCGGAUUGUCGCCCGCUUCGACCGCCGCUCGACGACGCGCACGGCUCGUCCGACCAACCCGUCUGUCCUCGAGACAUCCUGGAACCGUACAUGGAACAAGAAAAGGAAUUCGCGUUUACAAGGAUGUGGAAGAGAAGGGAGAGAAUCCACAGGGGCGUACGAGGUCACGGAGGAGACGAGUUAAACAGCAUCCAACAUCCUUCUCUCCUCCUCCGCAUAUAUGCGCGCCGAGGCUAUUUUCCCUCGGAAUGCAUCGAGCGGCAAAUGUUCUCCUUUUCUUGCUCCAGUAUGGGGGACGAUUGUUCAGCACGGCGAAAAUUCGGCGAUUCCCCGAAGGUAGCGCGGGAAAUUCAAUUUGCUCGCGUAUCACGUCUCCCCGCCCGAUUUAUCGCCCGUUUCUGAAUGAAUUCUGAGUGGAACGAGCGAGACCGAGUUGCGAGGCGCGUGCCGCCUAGAAUUAACGUCACGCGACAACCACGUUUUCUCGCCUCUCUACAGUAUUGCGUGUACUACUUCCUUUCCUUCUGAAAACUUAUUUUUAAGUAAACGUUCUACCAAUGUGUGGCGAUGCGGGUAUAACACGAUGAUAUCUAUUUGUUUUUAGGA